AACUCAAUUGUUAAUACUGUUAAAUUUGUUGGUGUUGCAUUUUCAAAAAAAAAAGUCCACUUGGUAGCAAAGUAACUAAAAAAAUGGCAUUGCAAUGAAAUUGAAUUUGACAAAAAUAAUAUUAAUAGUGUUAACAGUUGGACC
rnacentral:pre_miRNA from 1 species